rnacentral:rRNA from 1 species
AUGGAUGUUAAAAAAAAACGGCCUUUCACAUUGAUGCAUUGCUAUAUAGAGUUUGCAAAGUAUCCAAAGUGGCAGACAAGAGAACUUGAAACUUCUCUUAAGAAACAAAAGAAGACCAUUGAUGGAAGUCCAGGCACAGCCACCAAUGAUCCGUCCGAUGCAUCCUCAGUACGCACUGAUGCAACCUCGAUACAUACUGAUGCUCUUGAACAUGAGAAAAGACCUGAUGGUGUUAAGAAGGACAAGAGAGGUAAAACUGAUGAGAAUGCUUGCAAGCUGUCAUUAGAAACUGUGUGGGCAGCAAAGCAAGAGAAGGAUGAGAUCAAAGAAGCGGCAAGAAAUGCUCGCCAUGCACAGCAAUUUGAAUUGCAAAAAAAGGAGAUUGCACUCAGAAAGAAGGAGGAUGCACGAAACGAGAGGGAGGAUGCACGGAGACAGUUUGAAUUAGAUGAGAGGGUCAUGCUGCUCGACACUAGUGGUAUGACUGAUGUGCAAAAGCAGUUCUACCAAGCUAAGCAGAAUGAGAUCCUGCUCGAGGCCUAG